rnacentral:lncRNA from 1 species
GCCGAGCUCCUGCCAUUCGUUGCACUCCAGCCUGGGAAACUAGCAAAACUCCAUCUCAAAAAAAAAAAAAAAAGAGGAGGCCGGGUGCAGUGGCUCUGCACAACACUUUGGGAGGCCGAGGCAGGUGGAAUUUCUGAGGUCAGAAAUUCGAGACCAGCCUGGCCAACAUGGUGAAACCCCAUCUCUACUAAAAAUGCAAAAAGCAGCUGGGCGUGGUGGCGGGCCCCAGUAAUCCCAGAGAGGUGGGACAAUUGCUUGAACCCGGGAGGCCAAGGCUGCAGUGAGCCAAGAUCGCACCACUGCACUCUAGCCUGGGUGACAGAUCAAGACCUCGUCUAAAAAACAAGAAGAAGAAGAAAAACUACUUUUUUUUUUUCAGAUAUGGUCUCACUCUCAGCCAGUCUGGAGUGCAGUGGCGCCAUCUCAGCUCAUUGCAGCCUCCGCCUCCUGGGCUUGAGUGAUUUUCCCACCUCGGCCUCCUGAGUAGCUGGACCACAAGUGCAUGCCUGGCCAGUUUUUGUAUUUUUGGUAGAAACGGAGUUUCACCAUGUUGCCCAGGCUGGUCUCAAAACUGGCCUCCCAAAGUGCUGGGAUUACAGUCACAACUGACCUACUUGCAGGAUUUUCAGUUUAUGGACAUGACUGAGUGGAGACAUGGAGAAGCUGAUGUUAUUGGAGAUUUUUAUUAUUCCCGUUUCCUGAGCGAUGGGGA